AAAGUCUCGUACGCCACAGCUAUGGACUGGUUCAUCGCCGUCUGCUUCGCCUUC
rfam:Astyanax mexicanus chromosome 14, whole genome shotgun sequence.